GGAGAUGAUUGGCUUCAUAUGAUCUUAUGGGCGGGUUAUAAUGUGGGAGGAGCCAGUGGUAUUACAGCAAUAUGUGGGUAGUUAAGCGUGCUUUCGGGUUUGGGAUCUUAGGGAGUCGUGCGUUCGUCAGUGCAAUGGCGGCUCAAGCAGAAGACUGGCGCAGCGCCAAAUCCAUCUACGAGUUCUCGGCCAAGGACAUCGAUGGCAACGAGGUUUCCCUGGAGACGUACAGGGGUCAUGUUUGUAUCAUCACUAAUCUUGCCUCGAAGUGAGGCAAGACCUCCGUAAACUACACUCAGUUUGCGCAAAUGCACGCCACGUACGCUGAGAGAGGUUUACGCAUCCUCGGGUUCCCCUGCAACCAGUUCGGAAAGCAGGAACCGGGAACAGAGGAAGAGAUAAAGGAGUUUGCCAAGGGAUACCAUGCCGAGUUCGACCUGUUCAGUAAGAUUGAUGUAAAUGGUGAGAACGCCCACCCACUCUGGAAGUGGAUGAAGGAUCAGCCCAAGGGCAAAGGAACUCUGGGAAACAACAUCAAAUGGAAUUUCACGAAGGCACACACGUCACUUUUAAUUGCUUGACAUUCUUUGACAUUUGCCGAUGUGGACGGACUGGAGGAUGUUGAUCGAGUUUGUGCACUGAUUGCAACAGACAGUUUCUUAUCAACAAAGAAGGGCAGGUGGUGAAGAGGUACUCUCCCAUGGAUGAUCCGAGUGUGGUGGAAAAAGAUCUCCCCAGUUAUAUGUAGUGUGCCGUCCCAUGUGACUGAAGUAUUGCCUUGUCGUGUCUCGUCUCUCCUCUCCCGUGGCAUGCUGGGAUUUUGAGUCCGUUCCCCAGACCAGUGACGGCCUGUCCUGAAACCUGUUCACAGAUGGGUUGGACCGGCCUGAUGAACCCCCAGGCGUGCAGCCCCCACCUGGGAGGACUCCAGCACCCAGCAUGACCCUGUUCAAAUUCGAGAGGAGGCCUAAGACCUUCCCCCUCAAUGUUAUAAGUGUAUUUGUAACCGAAGGCUUGAUCUAGACUUUUGUAAUGUGCAGCUAAUUAAUAAAUAAACCUGCGGAA